rnacentral:tRNA from 1 species
GCCUGGCUGGCUCAGUUGGUAGAGCGUGUGACUCUUGAUCAUGGGAUUAUGAGUUCAAACCCCAUGUUGGACA